AGUGAACGCUGGCGGUAGGCCUAACACACGCAAGCCGAACGGCAGCACAGUAAGAGCUUGCUCUUACGGGUGGCGAGUGGCGGACGGGUGAGGAAUACAUCGGAAUCUACUUUUUCGUGGGGGAUAACGUAGGGAAACUUACGCUAAUACCGCAUACGACCUACGGGUGAAAGCAGGGGAUCUUCGGACCUUGCGCGAUUGAAUGAGCCGAUGUCGGAUUAGCUAGUUGGCGGGGUAAAGGCCCACCAAGGCGACGAUCCGUAGCUGGUCUGAGAGGAUGAUCAGCCACACUGGAACUGAGACACGGUCCAGACUCCUACGGGAGGCAGCAGUGGGGAAUAUUGGACAAUGGGCGCAAGCCUGAUCCAGCCAUACCGCGUGGGUGAAGAAGGCCUUCGGGUUGUAAAGCCCUUUUGUUGGGAAAGAAAAGCAGCAGGUUAAUACCCCGCUGUUCUGACGGUACCCAAAGAAUAAGCACCGGCUAACUUCGUG
rnacentral:rRNA from 1 species